rnacentral:rRNA from 1 species
GAAGACCAAGGGUUCCUGUCCAACGUUAAUCGGGGCAGGGUAAGUCGACCCCUAAGGCGAGGCCGAAAGGCGUAGUCGAUGGGAAACGGGUUAAUAUUCCCGUACUUCUUACAAUUGCGAUGGGGGGACGGAGAAGGCUAGGUGGGCCUGGCGACGGUUGUCCAGGUUCAAGUGCGUAGGCUUAAGAGUUAGGUAAAUCCGGCUCUUUUUAAGGCUGAGACACGACGUCGAGCACCUACGGGUGUGAA